AGUUAUCCAGCUUGAGGUAUGAAAUGUCGGCUUUUAUUAUUUUUAUCCUUUAUCAUCACAUAGCUGAUUAGAUCUACUCCAAGUGUUGCUUUUGUAGUGUUGUUUAGAUUGCUCUAGAAGUUUUCCUUAUGAUUGCUACGCGAGUAUCGGCUGUCUUAUAGCUGGUGAUCUCUACAGUAAAUCGGCCGACUUGCUGAUACGCUCUGGCGCGUCGCGCUAAC
rnacentral:lncRNA from 1 species